rnacentral:rRNA from 1 species
UGGCUAACUCCGUGCCAGCAGCCGCGGUAAUACGGAGAGGGCUAGCGUUAUUCGGAAUUAUUGGGCGUAAAGGGCGCGUAGGCGGGUUAAUAAGUUAAAAGUGAAAUCCCGAGGCUCAACCUUGGAAUUGCUUUUAAAACUGUUAAUCUAGAGAUUGAAAGAGGAUAGAGGAAUUCCUAAUGUAGAGGUGAAAUUCGUAAAUAUUAGGAGGAACACCAGUGGCGAAGGCGUCUAUCUGGUUCAAAUCUGACGCU